rnacentral:rRNA from 1 species
CCUACGGGAGGCUGCAGUGGGGAAUAUUGCUCAAUGGGCGAAAGCCUGACGCAGCGACGCCGCGUGAGGGAUGAAGGUCUUCGGAUCGUAAACCUCUGUCAGCAGGGAAGAACGGUCACUGUGCUAAUCAGCAGUGAAUUGACGGUACCUGCAAAGGAAGCACCGGCUAACUACGUGCCAGCCGCCGCGGUAAUACGUAGGGAGCGAGCGUUGUCCGGAAUUACUGGGUGUAAAGGGAGCGUAGGCGGGCGAGAAAGUUGAAUGUUAAAUCUACCGGCUUAACUGGUAGCUGCGUUCGAAACUUCUUGUCUUGAGGGAAGUAGAGGCAGGCGGAAUGCGUGGUGUAGCGGUGAAAUGCGUAGAUAUGAGGAGGAACACCAGUGGCGAAGGCGGCCUGCUGGGCUUUAACUGACGCUGAGGCUCGAAAGCGUGGGGAGCGAACAGGAUUAGAUACCCGGGUAGUC